rnacentral:lncRNA from 1 species
CUGUGUCUCUCUCUGUCUCUGUGUGUGUGUCUCUCUGUCUCUCUCUGUGUCUGUCUCUCUCUUUGUGUCUUUCUCUCUGUGUGUGUAUGUGUGUCUCUGUCUCUCUCUUUCUGUGUGUGUCUCUCUCUGUGUCUCUUUCUGUCUCUCUCUGUCUCUCUCUCUGUCUCUCUGUCUCUCUCUCUUCUUGGGAGUGCUGCUUUCUUGUAUGUUUGAACUCUUGUCUCCAGGUAGCUUUUCAAUUAUUUGGAAAACGUUUAGUUUAAUGGCAACUGUGGAAAGGCCAGACUCCUGCACAAACCAUGAAAAAGAUCUCCCAGGGCGGGCAGGUUCUUGGUUUAAAAAAAAAGUAUCUGUGUGUAUAAAUGUAUGGUACUCCAUACGGAAGAAGUCCUGAGAAGUUGUGUGAUGAAAUUUCAUUUGCAUGAUAAAGCUAAGGAAACUGCACAAGGAAAGCCCCGUAGAGCAGUGGAGUGUGGAAUGCGCUCAGGUGGAAGCUGCCUGAUUAUCAUGAUGUCUUACUCCAGGGGUAUGCUCAAGAUGGACUCCUUGUGCCUUGCAAGACUCUGCUCUUUUUAACAUUGUAAAAUAACACCUGCUCACUAUGGAAACUUUUUAAAUACAGAGAAACAGUGAAACAAAUUUACCCACAGUCAUCAGCUCUCCUUGUUCAAUUGGCUUUUUUUUUUUCUGUGCUCCUCUUUCUUGCCGUGCCUCUCUUUUUUUGCCGUGUUCCUGUUUUUCGCUGGGUUUGCCAGAACCUCAAACAAGCACCCAGCCUUCUUGUGUAUUUUUUCCCAAAAUAUUACUAUUCAAAUGACCUUUUUUUGACUUAGUUGGGGUGGGGUAUUCAUUUUAGUUUUAUGUUGCUGUUGAGACAAGGUCUCAUGUGUAACUCUGGCUGGCUGGAACUUGCUGUAUCAGGCUAAACUCAAACUCACAGA